rnacentral:rRNA from 1 species
GACAGAGGGUGCAAACGUUGUUCGGAAUUAUUGGGCGUAAAGAGCUCGUAGGCGGCUUGUCACGUCGAUUGUGAAAGCCCGAGGCUUAACCUCGGGUCUGCAGUCGAUACGGGCUAGCUAGAGUGUGGUAGGGGAGAUCGGAAUUCCUGGUGUAGCGGUGAAAUGCGCAGAUAUCAGGAGGAACACCGAUGGCGAAGGCAGGUCUCUGGGCCACUACUGACGCUGAGAAGCGAAAGCAUGGGGGAGCGAACAGG